rnacentral:rRNA from 1 species
AGUCGGCUACGAGGACGACGCUGGCGGCGUGCUUAACACAUGCAAGUCGAACGGUAAGGCCCUUCGGGGUACACGAGUGGCGAACGGGUGAGUAACACGUGGGUGAUCUGCCCUGCACUUCGGGAUAAGCUUGGGAAACUGGGUCUAAUACCGGAUAGGACCACGGUCUGCAUGGAUUGUGGUGGAAAGCUUUGCGGUGUGGGAUGGGCCCGCGGCCUAUCAGCUUGUUGGUGGGGUGAUGGCCUACCAAGGCGACGACGGGUAGCCGGCCUGAGAGGGUGUCCGGCCACACUGGGACUGAGAUACGGCCCAGACUCCUACGGGAGGCAGCAGUGGGGAAUAUUGCACAAUGGGCGCAAGCCUGAUGCAGCGACGCCGCGUGGGGGAUGACGGCCUUCGGGUUGUAAACCUCUUUCAGCAUCGACGAAGCGCAAGUGACGGUAGAUGCAGAAGAAGCACCGGCCAACUACGUG